rnacentral:rRNA from 1 species
ACAGCAGCCGCCGCGGUAAUACGUAGGUGGCAAGCGUUGUCCGGAAUUAUUGGGCGUAAAGGGCUCGCAGGCGGUUUCUUAAGUCUGAUGCGAAAGCCCCCGGCUCAACCGGGGAGGGUCAUUGGAAACUGGGAAACUUGAGUGCAGAAGAGGAGAGUGGAAUUCCACGUGUAGCGGUGAAAUGCGUAGAGAUGUGGAGGAACACCAGUGGCGAAGGCGACUCUCUGGUCUGUAACUGACGCUGAGGAGCGAAAGCGUGGGGAGCGAACAGGAUUAGAUACCCCGGUAGUCCCUGUCUCUUAUAA